rnacentral:rRNA from 1 species
UACGGAGGGGGCUAGCGUUGUUCGGAAUUACUGGGCGUAAAGCGCACGUAGGCGGCUUUGUAAGUUAGAGGUGAAAGCCCGGGGCUCAACUCCGGAAUUGCCUUUAAGACUGCAUCGCUAGAAUUGUGGAGAGGUAAGUGGAAUUCCGAGUGUAGAGGUGAAAUUCGUAGAUAUCCGGAAGAACACCAGUGGCGAAGGCGACUUACUGGACACAUAUUGACGCUGAGGUGCGAAAGCGUGGGGAGCAAACAGG